rnacentral:rRNA from 1 species
AGCUUUAUGAUAAUAUAUAAGGUGACUUCUGCCCAGUGAAAAUUUUAACGGCCGCAGUACCCUGACUGUGCUAAGGUAGCAUAAUAAAUUGAUUUUUAAUUGAAGUCUAGAAUGAAUGGAAAUUUGGAAAAAAUCUGUCUUAAAUUAAUUAUUUUUAAAUUACUUAUAAGGUGAAAAUACCUUAAAUUUUAAUUAAAGACGAGAAGACCCUUAGAGUUUUUAUAAAAGGUAAUUAACUUUUUUUUUUGUUGGGGUGACAAAGUAGAAAAAAUUAACCUACAUUAUAAUUCAAGCCGAGUUAUACUAUGAAAGAAAAAACUACCUUAGGGAUAACAGCAUAAUUUUUUUUAAAGAUUGUGACCUCGAUGUUGGACUAGGAACUUAAUAAUUAGUAAUUAAAAUUGAUGGUUCUGUUCGAACUUAUUUUCCU